rfam:Thermococcus sp. 5-4, complete genome.
GUUGCAAUAAGACUUUAGGAGAAUUGAAAG